GUUCUAAAUGUUCUUGCAUGGAAUGGAUACAUUUAUAAUGCCGUGAGAUCAUUCUGAUUGCUGGGACGUGCUGAGAAUUGAUUUAAGAAAUGGACCUCUAGAGGAAUGGCAGCCUAGAGAAGCCUGCCUUUUGAUUUAAAUCAACUUGUGGAGAUUUUUUUCUGAGUGCCUCCACCAUCUAGGCAGGCCAGAUAUUGAAGAGACUACAGUUUUCUAGGCAUGGGAGGAAAUGUUAGGUUGUCUUCUUUACACCUAUAAAAGUAACAGAGGUCCCAGUUUCUUUUGCAUCUGCUGCUCCUAUUUUUUUUCAUGACAACAAAAACUUCAUUAUGGGAUGAUCUUUCCAGAGAGCCUGAUAUGCUGCAAAAUGCUACCAUCCUUAGUCAUUGGACAAGUCCUUAUGUGAUUUGUACAAAAGAAUUUUCAACUAGAAAACUAGAGCAAGUGGAUGAAUUUGUGUAACUUGGCAGAAUGUUUAUUAAAGAUGGGAAAACAGAUGGAGAAAUGCUAGUAAAAAUCCAAUGGUAGUAUAUAGUCUAACAAAAGGAAGGAAUAUUUGUAUAAAAAAAUAAAACUGCUUAUGUAUAAGAGAAACGUUAUCAUUUAAUAAGAAAAUUAGCAUUCAGUAUAUCAGAAAAAAUAACAAAAUGGGAUACUUACGAAUGCUAAUUAAAUACAAAAACAAAUGGCAACUAUAUGAGUGAAGUAUAUCGAAAUGGUUUGAUCAUACAGGGAAAUAAUGAACUAGGAAUGAAUAGCUAAACAAAUCAGUGGAAGAAGAAUGAGUGGAUUAAGACGAAGGGGAAAAUUGAAAAGAUUAUAGUUAGAGGUAAUAGAUGAGCUCCUCCAUAAGAGGCAAAUAGCAAUGCAUGAAGUGAUGUAUGGAUGGAAGCAAAAGGUUGGUUGGUGUUUUGUUUUUUUUUUCAAAAAUGGGAAGGUAUAGAGAGUUUUCAUGAAUGGUGCUGAUAUAAAUUAGAUCUUUCUUUUUCUCCCCUUCAAUCAUGUCCAUUUCUCGGAGAUUGCCUGGACAAGUCCCUGCACUUUCCCUGAUAAGGUUUUCAAGAAGAGCUUUGCCAUUGUCUUCUUCCUUGGGCUGAGACAGAGUGAUGAGACCAAGAUCACCCAGCUGGUUUUGUACCUAAGGUCCACAAAUCUUCCCACCUGAAAGAUAUCGGCUCUCCAAAAUCUUUGGCUCCAGUUAUCAAUUAUUGUGAGACUGAUCUAUUGUGAUGUGCCAAAAGGUUUUUUGUUCCUACUUUCUCACCUGUCUGGCAAACUUCAUGCAUCUGGAGUUAAGCUGGGUUUAGUGCUUUGUUUAGCAUUAUGUUGGUACAAGAUACAGUCCAUGUUUCUCAAAUCAUAAUAGCCAGCAAUAAAAGCAGGCAUUUGGGAUACUCAGCUAUCAAACAUAUUUCUUGAAGCCCGAUACCAAGAUUUAGUUUACUUAUACUGUAGAAACGGUUGAGAGGUAGCCUGUUGUGGUAUCACAAGGGAUUUCCUGUCAGGACUGGAGGAACGGGAUUUAUACCACCUAAGCUGAGGGUACUUGCCCCCUGCCUCCAGCAACCUUUGGCAGAGUCCACAGUUGCAACCUAACACCACUUCUACACCUGAUAGGACCCAACUGGCAGGUCUACAAACUUUCCCCUCAUUCAAUCUAAACAUGUUACAGAGUGUGGGCUUAGCUUGAACCUCAGCCAUAUUUUCCCCUCUUUUUUUCUUUCUUUUUUUAAUAUUGCCAGAUGAAGAAUCCUUGGACAAUUCAAAGGCCUGACCCAUCUUUCAUUUCCAGCUAUUUUUGGGGGGAGAAUGGUUAGCCAUGAUUCUGCGGGCUCUUCCCCAAGCACUGGGUUGGGAUGUUGGCUGGGUCCAACAAAGAUGCAACUGUGCUAUAAGUUUGUUAUGGCACCUUGACUACUGUAUUAUGGUUAUUGUUUAAUUUAUUUGAAUGUUCCCCCAAAAGAGAGAUUGAAAGCAUAUCAGGCUGUUCAUUCUGAGAGGUAUGAAAAUUAUGCAUCCCCCCAUCUGUCAUUUAGAAAGACCUGAUUCUUCUAGCAGGCACUGGGCAAGGGAGAUUGCUGAACCUGCUGGUAUAUUUGCGUGACUAAAGAUUUUGUCUUCCCCUCCUAUAAUUAUUUUACCAUUGAUUCUUCUUUUGUUAAUUCUGAUGGCUUUUUAACCCUGUUUACUUGUCUUCUUGAACUGUUGUGUGAGUAAGCAGCCUUAAAAAUCAAAUUCAU